GGUGGGCGCUGCAGGCAGGUGUUUCUGCACUCUGAUCAGCUGCCCAAGUGACGGUGCCGCUCGAUAGCCUCGUGCAGGCUGCAGGCACGCACGCGUCUCCCUGGAGCACGCUUUGCUAAGCAGCCCGUGGGUUACCGCCAGAGCCGCCGUGUGAGGGAGGCGGGCAUGGCGAUGUCUGUUUCAACAGAAAAAAUACAACCGCUAUAGAAAACGGGGGCGAAGAAAGGUGACAUAGCCCGUACUAAUCCUCCUUUGAUUUGCAGAUGAGUAGCCUAAGAGAGAAGCCUCUUUGAAGCAGCUGAUGUGCUGCGGCUCGGGAGCUGGUGCGGGAGGCACCCGGGGCAGCGGUGUGUCAGCUGGAGGCACCGCUUUCACUCCCCACUUAAUCGCUCGAUUAACAAUUCAGGCAAAAAGCCACACACGCUUCAUGCAAAUACCUAGCUAUCCAUUAGGCGUAAUAAGUGAAAUGAAAUUACCGCGAGGAUAUUUCUAAAUCAGCUAAUAAUCGUUGUGUUUUCACAAGCUGGUGGCAUCGGUUAGCUGACAUCAAUGAGUAUUUGUUGUGUGCAGUUAGUAUAUGCCCUGGGGAAAAGCUUUAUUCAUCCAACUGCCAUCAGUUAAAAGCAUAACGAGCCCAGGCUGCCACCACUGCUCCGCACUUUCUGGGGUUUGCUCUCUGGCUCAAAGCAACACUUGUGUUCCCUGGACUGUUGUCUGCAGGUUGUUUUGAAAAGUUUUUCCAUUUAUGAUGAUUCUUUUUGAGGACAGUUACAACAUUCAUUUUUUUUCUGUACCCUAAAGUCAGAACUAGAUAUGCUACUUUUUUUUUUUUUUUUUUUUCCUUUUUUUUCUUUUUUGAUCUGGGAACAUAUAGAGAAGUGUGACUUUAAAUUAAUACUGCAUUUGGCUGAAAGGAUCUUAUUGACAUGCAUAAGGCCUAGCUUAUGGCAGACAUGGGAAUGCUGCUUUGAAAUGCUGAGUUCAUAUGCAAGUAGUAUUUUAACCACAAAGCAAAGCUGUGGUGAUAUGAACUUGCUGUGGAUUUUCAUUUGUCUCGGCUUUUGCUCUGCUUCAGAUUUGAUAAGUGAAUGCUUUCACAAUCAUGCUCCCUGAUCCCACUCACAGGACACAACAGCAGCAGGCUGCCAUUUGGGCUGCACCACUAUAUCUGGCACAGAGAAACCUGGAGCAAACCACGAGGGCUCUCACCAUGCUCCCUGUCAGCACCUUGUUCAAACUGGACUCAGAAUGAUUGGGAACAGACUCUUGCUUCUGAUGGAGGUAGAAGAGAUAUAAUACAAAAUAUAACCACUGUGGGGUAGGCUAUCGAGAAGGAGCACUGCAGCAGCUGAAAGGAUGCCAUAUACUUACCAUCUGAGAUGGCUGACUCCCGGGAUAGAGAAUCUUUUGAAGAUAGAGGAGCAAAUAGGAGGGGAGUCUCAGUAAAUUUGUUGGUGGCAUUCCUCCCCACUGUGCUCUGGGACAGCCAAACCCUCACUGUGGUCACCUGCUCCCUGAGAGGUGUUAAAAACAGAUAAAAGUUUGAUGUAUUAUUUCCAGUGAACCCAGCAGGCAGGUAAUUCCUGUGCAGUCCUGAGAUAUUGUGAGCAGUACAGUACAAGGAGUCACUACCACGCCUGUCUCUCAGGCAUACAAAAUGGAAACAGUAGAAGAUAAAGCUCAGUUCAAGUGUGCCAGAAAUUACCUUGACCUCAAAGGGAAGCUGCUGUUGUCCAUCUGCCAUCUGAAGAGGAGGAACCAUCAAGCAGUUUAAAGCCACUGAGGCGGAAACGGCAGUGCAGAUGCUAACAUAAGCUCCAGUCUUGCUUCUCUCAUCUUUUCUCUUAUCAUUGUCUUGCUCUGAAAGGCUUCCCCACUGGUAAAAAGCAACAAAAUGAGAUUACCUACUAUAAGGAAAGUGAUGGGAAUUUGAAAAUUGGCACUUAAGGUUUUGAUCACCAAUUCUUAGUGAUCCACACGGACACUUUUCCAUCAAGUCUUCUGGGAGCUGUUACAGUUUGUAUGUCGUGUCCAAGGAAAUUCAGGUUGUGAAUUCCUGUGUGAUAAAGUUGUUAUCUCACGGAUUUCACAACCUUGUGUAUUAGAAGUAGAGUUGAAUACCAUCCAGCUUCAGGGUGUCAUUAUUUCUAAACAACUACAAAAUGCAAUGUGAACUGCAAGACAGGGUAAUUUACUUCCCAGUAUAUGAUUAAGAAACUGAUACAAUUUCUUACCCACUGAUUUGUCCUAGAGAUAUAUUAUUAUACUGUAGGUACCAGAGGAGAGAAAUUACUAUGGAAAUGACUCACAAGCACUUCAGAGAAUGAGAUACAAUUUUAUUUAUUCAAAUACAAAAUUGCUCACAUCCAGUCCACUUAGACAUGGCAAUACAUUCCAGCACAUCACAUUAUACCCAACAACAAUAGUGCCAAGGACUGAAAAAAAAACCAAAAAAAAAGAAAAAAAAUACCCCAACAAAUCCAGUUAAUGAGUCAAUUUACAGAAAAGACCAAGCAGUAAGAACACUCAUAACAAAACAUGCUUAAACAGGUUUGUAAUACAUGCCAGCCAUAUUAAACUGACUUGCAAACAGAGCACAUAGCUUAUUUCUUCUGCCUCCUCUAUUCACACAAUACAAAGACUGCUUUAAAUUGCUCAAGAAUUUAUUCUUUUCCUGCUUUGCCUGCCUAGUUUGUUUUUGGAUCUAAUCUUGAGAGGCACUCUAGUAUCAGUAAGGGUAGCAGUAGCCUGCCAGGUUUUUCCACCCAAGAGUAGACAUGUGGGACCACUGGUUGUGGAUGGAGUGUGUUAUCACUUCAUGGCACGCACAAAAGUAUCAUUUCAGCAAUGAAUAUCUGUACAGUCCAUUACAUGCUGAUGGCUCUCAACUUCUGCUGCCUCUAAUCUCUUGGCUCUCAAUGACCAAACAAGUAUCUGCUGUAAGGUGAAGUCUCGGGGCCUGUCUGCACCACAGAGUGACCUGAGCCCAGGCUCCUGCCCUGGGUGAGCAGGUCGGACUUUGGCAGAAGACCUGCUUCACAUUCUUCUGGGGCUGCCCUUCCUCCUCCUAUUCCUUGUACAGAGGAGGAUGAACAGGCUUUUAGUACAAAUUAGAUGAAUAAAUAAUCACUGAUUGAUGUAACCAAGGGCGUCUGUGCGGAACUGCCUUUACUGUGCAAAGCAUUAAGACAAUAAGUUUGCUGUAAAACUUGUAAAAAAAAUAAUAAUCCACUGAAAAUAUUACAACUCUGUUUUCUACAGCAAACAAUGACAGAUGAUCUAGACAGUAUCACUCUACUGGACUACAUGAGGCUUUGGGGAACAGUGAUAAAAUCCAUACAUUUUCUCCACAAAACUGGGAAUGCCAGGAGUUUUCAACAGAGAAAAUGAACAUAUUUGUUACUGCUCUGCUUGUUUCUACUUUGUGUCAAUCUAAAGUAAUAAGAGUUUUAAAAUAAAUCACUGCAGUCCAUCUCAAUGAAAAUGUAACUUGAAGAUCAAGGUGUGCUCAGCAUAUGAAUGACAGAAAAAAAUGGCCGAUGGUAUUUUUGGAAUAAAUUCAGGGAUCCUGCUAUGUCUUUCCACCAAAGUGAAAAACAAAUUAUCCUGUUAAAGCUCUACGUGUUAUAUUGUAAGGGUAUCCCACAGAGAGAGAUAUAUAUAUAUUUUAAUCUUAAUUUAUACCUUAUUACUAAUAAUUACCAAAUUGAUAAAGCUACCUAGUUUACCCUGCAGACCUGUAGGCAUAAAUAACUGUUAGAAAUAAACUUAUUUAUGAAAAUUGGAGACAACGUCUGAACUGUAAAAUAUAACAUGACACUCUUAUCCUCCUUACAGAGACUAAUAAAUAAGUAUAAAUAAAUAAAUAUUGCAUAACAGUAGUGUAGUUCUUGCAGCAAAGAGGUAUUCUAUGUAUUUGUGGUCAACAGUGAAAUUUUUUUUUUUUUAAAUUUUAAAAAGGAUAUUUUAGAUUUCUUACAAUACAGCAAAAACUGAAGAUAACUCAUAAAUUAUCGUACUAAGAUCCACUGUAUCUGUUACCCUACAGCUAGUUACCAAGAGGUUAUUUAGCUUAAUUGUCUCAUAACAAGAAUGCUUGUAGCUUUGGCUGUAAGAAGACAACUCUUGCAAGUAAGCACCAGUCAUGAAAUACUGAGAACAUCAAAAUCUUCCCAGUCAAAGUGUGAGGUAAAAUGAUGUUCAAGAAGAAACAGCCUUUUGGUCUCCUUGGUUUUUCAGUUUGAAAAUAAGUGCAUCAUAUGUACAAGUCUGAAAUCUUACCAAUCUUAUAUUGCAAAAUUGCAGACUUAAGAAAGUACGUGAAGCUAUCCUGAAUAUCAACAAGAAUUUCUGCACAUCUGCUAUGCCAUGACUACAGAAAGAAAAAAAAAAAAGAUAGCAGGCACUUCCUUUAAGCAAAAGAUCUACAUAUACAUUUUUUGAGCAGCAAUAUAAAUGUAAUUUAAAUGCAAUCACAACAUUAUCUAUCAAACAUUGCUAUUGCAAAACUCAAUAAUUUUUGCAGCCCUCUGAGGAAUUACUCUAAGGGAGAUCUGUCAGCUGCUACACCCUCAUGAUAUUUCUUGUGAUAAAUCCUUUGAAGCAGGGGUGGAGAAGUAUUUUAAAAUUAUCAUUCAGCAUGCUUUAGAGAAGACCUUAAUCAGUGACAGACAAAAGCUAUUCUGAGUACCUAACAGUCUUAGGGGAGUUGCCCAUUUGAUGACCCCUUACCAUUUUACAAAACGUGGAGAUAUUUAACAGCUUGUUCAAAAACACACGGUGCUCUAAAACAUAAGAAUACCUAGGAAAUUCAUAUCUGACCUUGUAUUUACAAUGGUUUUAAUGAGUGCUUAUGCAUAGUUAUCAGUCAAAAGACUUUUCUACCAGAAAAAAAAAGAACUAACCUUAUUUCUAUAAGAGAUGCUUGCUUUUGACCUUUAAAUAGUUCAUCAUGGCUUCGCUGUGCCAAAAUAUAAGCAAAACCACAUAAAGAGUCAGACGAGCGGACAGAAAAUAAUGCCAUCUCAAAAAUACUAUAUGAUAUCAUCCUUUUUCUUAAUAACUCUAUUUUCAGCAGUAAAAUAACAUUCCAAGGAAACACUGGAGUGCCAAUUUCCCUUUCACAGGCUGCUGCGUCUCUCAGAAGCACCCAGCCACCUUUCUACAUGAUCCCUGUGCUGAUGAAGAACUACAGGCAGGCGCUGUCAUCUCAGAGGGCCUGGGUCAGCUUGUGCGAGCAUCACAAGUGUGUGGGCCCCUGUGCCAAGAUCAGGAGCCAUGCCAGCUUGCACAGUGUUUGGUGAUUUCACAUUGGGAUUUGACCCCAGUCUGAAGGUACCAUGAAACAAGAGGAUGAAGCAACAGGAAAGUGAAAAGUUGGCCUGAUCUCUGCCCAACUCCAUAAAAAACUGGCAGUAAAGGAUGUGUUUCUACUGGGUCUUUCAGGUCAGCAAACGAUGAUAAAAAUUUCUUAGAGUGACUGCCAGAGCAGUUCUUGUUGGGACGUGUUAAUGGUAGCUUCUUACAGGUUCAACACAAGGUAGCAAGACAGAUCUUUUUUUUAAAGGUUAGAGAAUUUGUUUUGUUAGCCAUGAUGGCUUUUUGUAAUAGCAUUGCUAAAGCAAAAUUUUCCUUCUGGUUUGCCCAAAUCUACUGUAACCCAUUUGAUCCCAUUUGAAAACUGGAUAUUCUUCUCAUUACAUCAUAGCUAUUUCAGCAUUCAUUGCUUUUGAGAGUAGGUUGUGGCUGCCUUUUACCAUCAACCCUUUAUCCACAAAGCAAUGCUCUGUUGUCUCUGUGUUACCCACAGAUGGGACCUGCAAGUUGCUCCUCCCUAAGAACGUCUAAACCUCGUAUUCCUUAAUCACAGAGGUUUUCAGCUGAUUUCUUUUGACUUUGUUGGAAGUUCUGAGAAACCUUGGAUAGAUGCUUAUGAAAUCAAAAAUGGUUCAUACAUGCAGAUGUUUGCUCACAUUCCAAAUCAGAGCUGGAUUUUUUUUUCCAUGUUCUGUCUACACAGAUUUUCUUCUUUACCACCAUUCCUCAUGAAUUCCUCAUUUUUUAGUCAAUUGAUUGGCUAUGCUAAUUUCAGUGGAAAACGUGCUUGGGGAUUUUUAUUUCUGUAUUUUCUUGUAGGCAAAAGAUCUCUAUAAGCCUCCACAAAUGUCAGUGGAAAACAAAGCAGUGAUACAUUAAUUAUUUAUGAUUCGGUAUUUAGAAUCAGAAUAAAGGGAAUAAGGGCCAUGAAAAAAUACUCAUAGGAUUGAUAUUCUUUCUUUCUUUUAAAAAAAAAAAGCAUGGAUUGUCACUACAAUUAGAAGAUCAUGAAAGCCUUAUUUUGCUCAUCAGUCUUCAUGGCAGUUGUUUCACACCCACGCAUGUUCUCUUCUAAUUCAGCUGAGGAGCUAAUGAAUAACCCCAGCUAACAAAGGGGCCAUUCAUCCUCUGCCUACAGAAUUAUUAAAGGAGAGCUGCGUAAAUGUCACUGAAGACCAGUGUUUGCAGGCCUGUCUCUAAAUUUGGUUAUUCACAACCUUUCCAGCUCAAUAUUAUUGCUGAACCAUGAUCGUUUUCUAAUCACCUUAAUAAUACCUAUUAAACCACUUGAAUUACAUAAGCACAGACCUGCUUAAAUACAACUUAACCUAAUAAACACUGGUCAUUCAUUAAACAAUAAUGCCCAUUAUUUUUAAGAAGGUCAAAUGGAACACUGAACUCACUGAUUCCUGCAUCAUUACACAUAUGAUUCAAGUGACAAAGCACUUACUUUUUGUUUGGGAAACUUACAGCUCCAUGCUUUUGCACCAGAAGAGCUAUUGAGAGACAGUAACAUCCUACAUUUCAGUAUCUGCCCUAUUUGUAACUGGCCACCUACACGCAAACAAUCAACAGGGAGAAAAAAUGCUACUUUCACCUUAAUGAGGGCAAUCCAAUUACUGAGGAUGGGAAGAGAAUGAGAAGCAUCGAUCUCUUGGCAGAUAGCCUUCUUUAGGAAAUGCGAUUGUCAAAACAGCAAAACAAGAGGUAGCUCUAGGCCAUCCAUCCCAGUACUCUGCAUCUAUCCCAAGAGCUAGAAAUCUCUUGUUCCUCAUAUUUUUUCUAGCUUCCAAGCCAGCCACUCUCAUUGAAAUCAGUAGUAAGGAACAAAGCUAAUAUAGCAGUCCUCACAGUCUUAGGAAUGUUUCUCACAGAUGAGAAACACUGGGUGCUAUUUGAUAAAUUGUAGUGUUUUUGUUUAAGAAAAAGAAAUGGUUUCUAGCCUUUUAAAUAACAUUUAAAUAAAUAAGAACUAUUAGUUAUAGGAAAGUUGCUAAUAAACAUAAAAUACUCUUGUUAAACUGGACAGUUUGGUGUUAGAAUACGGGCAAUAACUGCUAAGAAAUAUGGCAUUAAAACAUCUGGUGUGUAGAGAUUUUGCUAGGUUUCCUAACUAAGAUGACAAGGUCAGGUGCCAAAACAUAUCCAGUGCUGUGUAACUGCAUGCCCCAAAAGCUUGAGGGUCACUUUUCUAAAACAAAGAUAAACAGAUGCUUUCAAUUGGGCUGUCUGCUCCCCAGAACCCUUUUGGCACAGAAAUAAAGGCUCCCAUGAAGCCACUUACACACACAAAUCUUUCCCUCAUCCCCUUUUGUCCUGUCCCACCCUGCUGCAGAAGGCUUCCCCGGCUUCACCCUGCCAGUGCUGGGGAGCAUUGGGAGAGCAGCACCAUGUUUCAGGACACUUGGCACUGUUGGUUCAGGCAAGUGAAAGCCUCAUGUAGGAUGAUGCUCCUAUUAUCUCUCACCUAUUUGGAGUGGUGGGACUGCAGGCUGCUGUUGCUAUAUCAUAUAUAUAUAUAUAAUCAAAAGAAUGCUACAAUGCUCAGCUAAAGGCUGCUUGAGCUAACAGAGUUUGAGGAAAGGGGUAAACAAGGAUUUCUCUCCUUCCAUAUUUCAUUUAAAAUUUUGUACUGAAUUCUAUGACAAAAAUAAAAACUCUCUUCUUAAAACAAACAAACCAAAAAACAACAGAGAAAACAACCAAAACCCAAAACUAUCAAGAACGAACACUCCUUCAUUUACCGGAUUCUCCUCUGAGUUCUCUCUCCAACUGAACACCAAAAACCUCCAGUGCUCUCUGUCUUUCCUCCAGUUCUUCUAGUUGGCGCUGGAUUGCCUGCAAAAUUGAAAAGAUAGAAAAUUUGCAGACGUGGCUUAAGAAUUCAGAGACAAAAGGUAGCUUCAGUGGUUAGAGAAACAGCUUGAAGAGACUUCUGAGGAGUCACGGGAUAUGCAAAGUCAUUACGUGUGUUUGUCGUCUAAGCAAUUUAACAAUUCCACCAUCUGCACCAAAAUGUGGCUAGAGAAGUAUCUCAGAUACUGAAAGAACCCCAGUAUACUGUGGGUAUUUUCAGAGGUGCCUAAUGGAUAACGGACACAAAACACCUUUAUAAGACUGAAGUUUCCACUUCAGGCUGUGUUGGGGCAUACCAAACCCAGCCCUCAGCAAACAAGAAAGACAGUUCAAAAUGUUUGGACUUGAUUACUUCCAUAAAGCAGUGAGAGGAAAUAAUAUUACUUCGGGAUCAUUUACAUCUGUCAAAAUAAAAAGGAUAACAUAAUUGUUCUUUUCUUUAGGUUAGAGACAUGGAUCCAUCCAAAACCAUCCCCUUGCUAUUGUAAUACAACAGAGGAUGAUGUAGAACUCUGACUUCAACAAACACAAUUGCUUUUCAGGGUCUGAAUAAACUGAACUGACCCAGCAUCAGCAUUUAAAAAAAUCAGUUAUAAAUCAGUAUAAAAUCCCUCGCUCUAUUGUACCAGAGUCCUGGUUGUGUGCCAGGAUGAUAGCUGAGCUUCUUGCUUUCUCAGGGGAUGACAUUUCCUUUUUCUCUCUCUGUCCUUCAAAAUCAAUGUGUUCUACUGCUAUUGCCAGUCACUACUGCUCCUUUUCAUGCACUUAUGCAUACUUACAAAGCUGUGACAAUCUGCUGGGGCACACUUGGACUUGCCACACAGAGGUGUGAAGCCCUGCCACAUGAUAUUUUGGGUGGAUUUCAGUGUGGUAGUCAGUGGGCUCCAGUGAAGAGCAAGGGCGCAGAGGAGAUAUUUUCCACCCCUGUCCUCGCCAAGCACUCCUGGGAGAAAAAUGUCCAUUUGUGAGCAACACUGUCACCUGUGCUUUAUGAAGUCUCUUCAGCUCCUCUUGUUUAAUCAAUUGUUUUGUCUCCUUCUCCAGUUUUCUUCUCCUUCUAAGAGAUCUUUUAGCCUAUAAAAGGGAAAAAAACAACACCAACACAACAACAAACAAUCAAAGUACAAGUAUGCCACCAAAUGCUUCCACAAGCCUUUCCCAGAAUCACAGUAUCACUAAGACUCAGAGAGGUCUCUGGAGAUCGUCUAAUCCAACUACCCUGCACAGAGCAAAGUAAGACACUGCAAGUUGCUUGGGCAGCCUCACUGAAAUGAAAACACUGGUGUAGGGAAUAUCUUCAAGCACUUCCCUAUAUGAGCUUUGAAACUUUACAGAGCCCUCUGCAACACUAAGCAUGAAGUGUCUUUACCAAUAGAAAGGUUCAAAUGAUAGGGAGGACUGUACACAAAGCAGCAUUGCCUAUGGCAUGUGCAGACACUACGUACCUGAGGGAGAAGCCAGGCACAGGCAGUGAGAAGCACUGGAAUAAGAAAACUCAACCCCACUGCUGGAGUAGAAAAUUCAGUCUGAGGUGAGAAUGCUGUCUCUGAUGGUUCCAGUAAGUGUUACAUGUAGAAACAGGUCUUUCAAAAUCUAGCUGGUUUGAUUGUAACUCACACCUGUGCAGUGCAAUGAAAGUGGGAAGAGAGCACGCACUACAAGGCUGCUGGGGAAAUGCUUCACCUUGCUCUUGGUCUAAGCUCUCUGGAAGUGCUUCAAGGCUGUGGUUUUCUCACUCAGGAGGAGACAGGAUAUAUGGGCACAGUAGACAAGACUGCUGAAAAACUAACAGGCCAGGAAGCCACUGGCAUUUUUUUCACAAAGUUUUAUCAGUGAAAAACAGUGGCACUGGCUAAACAGAGGUACUUGGAGGUAACUUAGAGAGACAAAGUGAGUUGGGGGACUUCCAUGCUGCCUCACAGUGCCAGACAAACUGUGGGUAGAGUGGGCAACAGUGGUACGAGGAAGAGAACUGAAAAUGCUUAUGUGCCAUGAAAUAUUUCAUAUCUGAAUGUCUUCUCUUAAAAAUGAACUGAAGGUGCUCUAGGAUAACAAAAAGUUUAAAUGCUGGUUGCUCCUACAUUUGUUGAUAACUUUUCCAAAAUCUGCUCUGCUUCAGAGGGUUUCUGCAAUCUCAGUGCAUCCUUAUCCAGCAUCACAGGUGGGAUAUGCAGCCAAACACUGUUGCACUUUGCUUUGCAUUGCUUCCUCCAGAGCCGAUCCUCUCCUUUUGCCCUCGAAAGGCAACAAAUGAAAGGGCCACCUUAAACUAUAACUUCCACUUACUUAUAUUCUCUCUGCAGAAAAAAAAGUUUAAUGUUUAUCUGAUGAGCUAGUCAGGCAAUAAAAGCUGCUUCUUCAGGUCAGAGUUGGGUAUCAGGAGUUCACUGGUGAUUUAAAUCCAUUGCUCCAGAAAGACACAUGAGCUGUGUUAGGGCUGGGAGAUGCCAGUGUACAGCACAUCCUUUCCAUGUAUGUGGUCUGGGUGUGACUUUCCAGCUCAUGUAGCCAUGCUGAUUAAAGUAAACACAGAGUUUUUCAUGCAAUCUGCCUGUACUGCCUCACAAAUGAAGUUGUAUUUCCCCACGGGAAAUCUGCAUCUGUUUGGUUUAAUUUUUUCAAUGGUUUGCUUGUCGGGCUACAUAUUAAAGCCACUUAUGAAUACUGCUUCAAAGUGGUUUCAGUUAAACAUGUCUGUUUGUCCAAUUAAGACCUUCUCCAUCAACACUGGUGUAACCUGGGGGAAUUACAGAUUCAAGGAGGAGAAAAAUUUUCAUGUUCAUCUGUCACAGUUUUAGUGUAUUUUACAUCCAUGGCAUGUAACCCUCGGUGAUAAAAUGUUCCAAUCCCCAUUUAAAGAAAUCGUGGAGUGCUUUAGAACAAAGUCAUAUGAAUCUUAAAUAUAGUCCAAGUGAGGAAAUGUAUUUUUGCUUCAAAGAAAAGGUUACCUUAUAUGUUAAUGAACGGUUGAAUUCAAAUUCAUCUUCAUCAGAGGAAGAAGUAAAAUACUCCACAGUCUGCUUCCUGACAGGUGGAAGUUCACAUCCUAAGUAGAGGGAACAAAGCCAUUAAAGAGGCAAAAAAUACCAUUCUUUAACAUAUACAGACACUUUGCACCUGCCCCAGGUCCUAAUCAGCAGCACCCAGAGCAAUUUGGAAAUUUGGCUCACUGUAUUAAUUGGAUUUUGGUCAUUGUCAAAAACCCUGCCUGGUAUAUCUUUUUUUUUUUUUUUUUUAGGUAUUGUAGACAAACAAAUUAAUUCCUUGAGCCCUCUCCACGUAGCAUGCUGUUCUGAAUGCAUUCAACAUUCAUUAAAAUGCAUAUCUGAAGUUAGCCAUAUUACCCAAAUGAUUGUGUAAGGUUCGCUAUACAGUGUAAUUGAAUGCAAAAAGUCUGAGCCAGCUCUUAAACAAAUUACCCUUAUGUGGCUUGUAGCAUCUGGCACCCAUUUUUACUACAUGACAUCUGCUCAGUGUAAAAUAGUUGGCGUCAGAAUGUCUGGUCAUAGAAAAAAAUCACAAAUGUAAUCAGAAGCAAAUGGACUACGAGAACAAGGCUUUAUCACACAGCCUCAUGCAACAUAAAUAUUUAAUUAAUUAUGUCUAAACAAACGUCACUUAUUUUUCUGCUUUAGGAAUAUUAUCACAUCAUUGAACUGUUGAUUAAAAUGCCAUAAUAAGUCAGGAAAAUCCAUACAUCACAACAAUGCAUUUCAUAAGGAAAACUCAAAGGCUGCCUGUAGAGGAAGCACGCUUUCAGAAUUACAAAUUAAAUUACAUUUAAUUGCAGCAAUUUUAUAAUGCCUGUUUUCCCAGCAUCU